rnacentral:rRNA from 1 species
UACAGAGGGUGCGAGCGUUGUCCGGAAUCACUGGGCGUAAAGCGUGCGUAGGCGGUUCGUUAAGUCUGCUGUGAAAGCCCUGGGCUCAACCUGGGAACUGCAGUGGAUACUGGCGGACUAGAGUGUGAUAGAGGAUGGUGGAAUUCCCGGUGUAGCGGUGAAAUGCGUAGAGAUCGGGAGGAACACCAGUGGCGAAGGCGGCCAUCUGGAUCAACACUGACGCUGAGGCA